rnacentral:rRNA from 1 species
CCUACGGGAGGCAGCAGUGGGGAAUCUUGCACAAUGGGGGAAACUCUGAUGCAGCGACGCCGCGUGAGGGAUGAAAUCUCUUGGUAUUGUAAACUCCUUUUAUAUGGGAGUAAAUUACUGUACUUGUAUAAUAUGAUCAGUCUAAUUCUAUGCCAGUUGCGGCGGCCACGCGCAGGCAGCAGUCGUUAUCCGGAUUUACUGGGUUUAAAGGGAGCGUAGUCGGAUUGUGAAGUGAGUUGUGAAAGGCUGGGGCUCAACCUCAGGAUGGCAGUUGACACUGGCAGUCUAGAGUAUUGGAGAGGCAGGCGGAAUGCGUGGUGUAGCGGUGAAAUGCGUAGAUAUCAGGAGGAACACCAGUGGCGAAGGCAGCUUACUGGACUGUAACUGACGUUGAGGCUCGAAAGCGUGGGGAGCAAACAGGAUUAGAUACCCCAGUAGUC